GGAGGGUUGGCAGAGCGGUUGAAUGCACCGGUCUUGAAAACCGGCGAGGCUUUACGGCCUCCGUGGGUUCGAAUCCCACACCCUCCGCCA
rnacentral:tRNA from 8 species